CACACAUUUCAAAAAAAAAAAAAAAAAAAAAACCCAUAAAAUGGACAAACAACAACACUCUCUCCAACGUUUCAGCUGAACAUACAGUGUCUCUCUUCUCAUCGUCUUCUAGAGAUAAGAGAUGGGAGGUACAACAGGCGAAACAAACGGAAGUUUGGCUGAGAACAAAGCUGCGAAUGUUCAAACAAGCAAGGGCGUAAACAUUGGAGAACUGCUAUGGGUUAAGCUCAACGAAACUUCAUGGUGGCCUGCACAGAUUGUUGACGAGAACUUGGUAAGUUCAGUCAAUAAACCUAGCAGUAAAGGUUCAAGCAGCGACCUUCUUGUUCGGUUAUAUGGAUCAUAUAUAUACAAGUAUGUAGACAUUCAUACUUCCAGUGCUGAGUUUAAGACCAUGAUUAUAAAGAACAACUUUAAUUACCAUGAUAUAGUAAAGAAGUCAAUCGAGCAGGAUCUUCCGAGCUUACGUUCCAGCAAAUCAAGGAAACGACAACAGUCGAAAUCCAAAGGAAAAGUCGUGACCGAUGCUUCUCAAAACGGAUCUGAUAAAUCCCCGGUUUCAAGCAAAAAGAGAAAGCAAGAAAAACCAAAAACUGCUGGAUCUCAUUCCCAAACUCCAGAAAUCAAAACCAAAAACUCAAAACCGACUCUGGAUCGGGUACACCAUGACACUGAUCCAUCUUCUCCAAAUACUGACGGUCAUGUAAACGCAUAAGCAUAAUCCUACCUUCCAUUAUAUGUGCCAACAUUGCUUAUGCGGUUUUCUACUUGCUGGCUACUAGGAGACCUCAAGAAUUAAGUGCGCGCCGAGUGAAGGUGAUGCAAAGUCUUGGUUUAGUGGCUCCUUUAGGGUCACCCUUCCCUCGUAACCAAGUCGUUCCGGCUAACCCAACGGUGUUGAAUUAGGUUUUCAUCAUCUUCGAUUCGCUUGAUAACUAAAACAUUAUCAUGAUUGGUGAUUCGCUUUUGGCUACUUUAUGCAAGCAGACUUUGUUCAGUCAAAUUGUGGUUUUGAUGCCCCAAUUAAUUAGAAUUAAUGACACUUAAAAUA